rnacentral:rRNA from 1 species
GUUGUUUUACUUACUCGGUGGUGCGGAGAGGGCCUCGGCUCGUUUCUGGAUCCAAGCCGCCUCGCGCGUGCGAUCCGCGUCGGGGACACUAACAGGUGGGGAGUUUGGCUGGGGCGGCACGUCUGUUAAAAAAAUAACGCAGGCGCCCGAUUUUGAGCUCAAUGAGAUCAGAAAUCUCAUGUGGACCGAAAGGGGAAAAGCUCGGUUG